GACGAACGCUGGCGGCGUGCUUAACACAUGCAAGUCGAGCGGUAAGGCCCUUUCGGGGGUACACGAGCGGCGAACGGGUGAGUAACACGUGGGUGACCUGCCCUCAGCUCUGGGAUAAGCCCGGGAAACUGGGUCUAAUACUGGAUAUGACUCCAUGACGCAUGUUGUGGGGUGGAAAGCCUUGUGCGGCUGAGGAUGGGCCCGCGGCCUAUCAGCUUGUUGGUGGGGNGAUGGCCUACCAAGGCGACGACGGGUAGCCGGCCUGAGAGGGCGACCGGCCACACUGGGACUGAGACACGGCCCAGACUCCUACGGGAGGCAGCAGUGGGGAAUCUUGCGCAAUGGGCGAAAGCCUGACGCAGCGACGCCGCGUGAGGGGU
rnacentral:rRNA from 1 species